rfam:Tupaia chinensis contig113136, whole genome shotgun sequence.
CCCUCCUACAAAGGUGUCUGUGGCUCCCUGUCUUUGGGACACGUAAGAAUUGGAGGCAAAGAAAGGUGGAUUUGGAGGAAUCUGGAGCCUGCUUGUUCGCCACAGGCUUAAGAUCAACCACCCCACACAG